rnacentral:lncRNA from 10 species
UUCAGACACAGGGCUCUAAUGGGAAAGAGGUGAGACCCUUACACUUAGGGUGGGAGCCCUGGACAGUUGGGAACCCUGAACACUUACAUGCCCCUGAGUCCCCUGGGCCUGCAGAAAUGGCCUAUUUCUCAUGUCAUGUAGAAGAUUGUAGACUGCUUGAACCUGGGAGGCGGAGCUUGCAGUGAGCCCAGAUUGCACCAUUGCACUCCAGCCUGGGCAACAGAGCGAGACUCGGUCAAAAAAAAAAAAAAAAAAAAGCAAGACUUUCCUUUUCUGAAGAUCAUACAGAGGUCUCAAAUGAGUCUGAAGUCACCUGCCCUAUCUGGACAUUCCAUAGACUACCACUUUUACCCACGACUUCGAUGUGGC